UGAAUCUUUUAUUAAUACAAAUUAAUUAUUGAAAUCGAUAAUCUUUUAUAACUACACGAUAUAUCUAUGCACUUGCAGUAAUAUCGACAACACUUCUAGAAUUUGUAACAUAGGUUUCUUAAGAUCAUCGAUCCUAACUACAGAGCAGCCUUACUACAUAUGUGAAACAAACACAAAAUAAGGAUAGCCAUUACACCAGAUCCAAAUUCUUCCCAUUACACAAGAGUCAAACACCUGGACCACCCCAUUUGCCCCUGUACACACACAUAACUUGUACCCGGUGUAAUAUCUUCUUGAAUUUGCAAUAAUGGUUUCUUAAGAUCAUCGAUACCAUUCGUGACUAUUUUUUCAUCUUGAGACGAACACUUAAUUUGUCCUGCAAAAAAUUCAAAGAACAUAGUUUAGAAAACAAAAUUCUAAUUCCUCGUUGUUUUUUAAGAUUAACAACUUAACAAACCUUUGAAACAACUCAUUGUAGUUCAAUAAUAGCAAAACCUUAGCGAACACAAAAACACACAAUAUAUAUACACACCAAAUCUAAAAUUUCAAUGGAAUCGAUAAUCUUACGGAACAUUUGAGUUUCACAAACCUAUUCAAUAUGUUUUUGGUUUGCUUACAUUUGUAGGAACAUGCUAUGUAUUGCACUGUAGUACAUUUGUACUUUUUUAUUUAUUCAAAGUACAUUUGUACUCUUGUUCACAAUAUUGUAGUACAUAUUUGUACUAUGCCUCACAUUUGUACUCCACCUCUUCACAUU
rnacentral:lncRNA from 1 species